rnacentral:rRNA from 1 species
GACGAACGCUGGCGGCGUGCUUAACACAUGCAAGUCGAACGGAAAGGCCCUGCUUGCAGGGUACUCGAGUGGCGAACGGGUGAGUAACACGUGGGUGAUCUGCCCUGCACUUCGGGAUAAGCCUGGGAAACUGGGUCUAAUACCGGAUAGGAGCCAUUGUUACUGUGAUGGUUGGAGAGUUUUUUCGGUGUAGGAUGAGCUCGCGGCCUAUCAGCUUGUUGGUGGGGUAAUGGCCUACCAAGGCGGCGACGGGUAGCCGGCCUGAGAGGGUGGACGGCCACAUUGGGACUGAGAUACGGCCCAGACUCCUACGGGAGGCAGCAGUGGGGAAUAUUGCACAAUGGGCGCAAGCCUGAUGCAGCGACGCCGCGUGGGGGAUGACGGCCUUCGGGUUGUAAACUGCUUUCGCUAGGGACGAAGCUUUUUGUGACGGUACCUAGAAAAGAAGCACCGGCUAACUACGUG